rnacentral:rRNA from 1 species
ACACGACUACAUUAGAUACCCGCGUAGUCCAGGGUGUAAACGCUGCGGGCUUGGUGUUGGGGGUCCUUUGAGGGCGCCCAGUGCCGGAGAGAAGUUGUUAAGCCUGCUGCUUGGGGAGUACGUCCGCAAGGAUGAAACUUAAAGGAAUUGGCGGGGGAGCACCACAACGGGUGGAGCUUGCGGUUUAAUUGGAUUCAACGCCGGACAACUCACCAGGAGCGACGGUUACAUGAAGGCCAGGCUGAUGACCUUGCCUGAUUUUCCG